rnacentral:rRNA from 1 species
AUUGAACGCUGGCGGCAUGCUUUACACAUGCAAGUCGAACGGUAACAGGUUAAGCUGACGAGUGGCGAACGGGUGAGUAAUGCAUCGGAACGUGCCCGAUCGUGGGGGAUAACGCAGCGAAAGCUGCGCUAAUACCGCAUACGAUCUGAGGAUGAAAGCGGGGGACCGUAAGGCCUCGCGCGAUCGGAGCGGCCGAUGUCAGAUUAGGUAGUUGGUGGGGUAAAGGCUCACCAAGCCAACGAUCUGUAGCUGGUCUGAGAGGACGACCAGCCACACUGGGACUGAGACACGGCCCAGACUCCUACGGGAGGCAGCAGUGGGGAAUUUUGGACAAUGGGCGAAAGCCUGAUCCAGCAAUGCCGCGUGCAGGAAGAAGGCCUUCGGGUUGUAAACUGCUUUUGUACGGAGCGAAAAGGUCUCCUCUAAUACAGGGGGCUCAUGACGGUACCGUAAGAAUAAGCACCGGCUAACUACGUGCCAGCAGCCGCCGCCG